CACGCAGGCGGUUUUUUUAAGUCAGAUGUGAAAGGUACCGGCUCAACCGGUGACAUGCAUUUGAAACUGAAAGACUUGAGUAUUGGAGAGGCAAGUGGAAUUCCUAGUGUAGCGGUGAAAUGCGUAGAGAUUAGGAGGAACACCAGUGGCGAAGGCGGCUUGCUGGACAAAUACUGACGCUGAGGUGCGAAAGCGUGGGGAGCAAACA
rnacentral:rRNA from 1 species